rnacentral:rRNA from 1 species
AUGAACGCUGGCGGCGUGCUUAACACAUGCAAGUCGAACGGAAAGGCCCAAGCUUGCUUGGGUACUCGAGUGGCGAACGGGUGAGUAACACGUGGGUGAUCUGCCCUGCACUUCGGGAUAAGCCUGGGAAACUGGGUCUAAUACCGGAUAGGACCACAUUUUGGAUGGUGUGGUGGAAAGUUUUUCGGUGUGGGAUGAGCUCGCGGCCUAUCAGCUUGUUGGUGGGGUAAUGGCCUACCAAGGCGUCGACGGGUAGCCGGCCUGAGAGGGUGUACGGCCACAUUGGGACUGAGAUACGGCCCAGACUCCUACGGGAGGCAGCAGUGGGGAAUAUUGCACAAUGGGCGCAAGCCUGAUGCAGCGACGCCGCGUGGGGGAUGACGGCCUUCGGGUUGUAAACUCCUUUCGCUAGGGACGAAGCGUUUUUGUGACGGUACCUGGAGAAGAAGCACCGGCUAACUACGUG